rnacentral:misc_RNA from 1 species
GUGAGUCAUCGAAUCUUUGAACGCACAUUGCGCCCCUUGGUAUUCCGAGGGGCAUGCCUGUUCGAGCGUCAUGAACAAAUCUCAAGCCUUUGCUUGGUGUUGGGUAUUUCGUCUACUCUCUUUGUUUUAGGGAAGUGACGUGCCUGAAAGUCAAUGGUGGUGCCUCAAUAGACUCAAGCGUAGCAGACUGACUCGCUUUAGAGACGUUUUUGAUGGUGCUGUCAACCAAAAACAAACAAUUUGGACCUCGGAUCAGGUAGGGAUACCCGCUGAACUUAAGCAUAUCAAUAAGCGGAGGA